CUCUUACCAUCUUCGCAGGCAACAUCUCUGGCGAAAUCCCGCCUGCAGUUGGAGACCUUCCAUAUCUCCAGAACUUAAUGUUUCAUAAACUUACAAAUCUCACAGGCCAAAUCCCAUCAGCCGUUACCAAGCUUGUUCACCUCAGAGAGCUGACAAUUAGCUGGACUAAUCUGUCGGGACCGGUGCCUUCAUUCCUUAGCCAGCUCAAGAACCUCACCUCCUUGGACUUGUCAUUCAAUGACCUCACUGGUUCCAUCCCUCCUUCGCUUUCUGAGCUCCCUAACCUCCUAGACCUCCACCUGGAUCGCAACAAACUCACCGGAAGUAUCCCAGAUUCCUUUGGAAGGUUCGCUGGAAAUAGUCCUGAUCUGUUUCUGUCUCACAACAUGCUAAGUGGCCCUGUUCCAAAGUCCUUAGGCAACGUGAAUUUCUCUAUUCAGAUUGACUUUUCACGCAACAAGCUUGAAGGUGACGCAUCAUUCUUGUUUGGCAAGAACAAGACAAUACAAUUUGUUGAUUUGUCGAGGAAUUUGUUUGAGUUUGAUCUUUCCAAGGUGGAAUUUCCAGACAGCUUGACGAAUUUGGACUUGAACCAUAACAAGAUCUUCGGCAGUCUACCAGUUGGAUUGACUGAAUUGAACUUGCAGUUCUUCAAUGUGAGUUACAACAGGCUUUGUGGACAGAUUCCGCAAGGUGGGAAGCUGCAAAGCUUCGACAGCUAUAAUUAUUUCCACAACAGAUGUCUGUGUGGUGCUCCUCUUCCUGCCUGCAAGUGAUUUCUGAGAAAUCCAUGGCAGGGACAUCAAAUGACAUCAGUCAUCUAGCCUUUCAUUAUGUUGCAUCCGAGAAUAAGAUGUAUUUGGAUUGCGGUUUAUAUGUUAGAAUUUGUAUGUUUAAUAUGUAUGCAAAUAUAAGCUGAGGAUUGAAGUUAACUUGAAGAAGCGGAGGUGAGAUAAUGUUAGUAAACAACUACCCCUGCGUCCUUGCAGUUGCCUCACUAUCAACGCAACAAAAACUACUCUACUACAUUUUGAUAGUAUGUUUUAUUUACUGUCUCUUCAUCGCUAUAUUUGCGUCGCAGACAAUAUGAAAAUGGCAUAAAAAUAAAAAAGAAUUGCAGGGUAAUCUGAGUCAGUUCGGAUUAGUGAGUUUUUGACAUCCGAGUUUUCAUAUACAAGUUUAUAGUAACACACUCUAAAUAAUUGCCAGCGCCACACCCGUAUCCUCUACCCUCCACUCUCCUAAAAUAACUUGAAAAUAAAGUUUACUUUUCUUUAAAAUUUGUGUCUUUAGUUUCUUUUAUUUCAAAUUCAUUGUCAUAUUAUCUUAUAAUCAUAAGUGAUUAAUGUAAUUAGAAGGAAUUGAAACAGUAAUCAAAACUGAAACAAAACCAUUAUCAGAAGUUCUAGAACAGUGGAAAUAACUUUCCCUAAUCCCCGGAAGCUGGAGCUCAAUUUCACCUUUCAAAGCAACUGUCGGUGAUUAUUUUAAAACCACUAACAUGCCUAUAUUGAUACUCUUGAGAAGGGUGUUAAUUUUUUUUCCUUUUUCUUUAUGUUGUGCUUGUCGUGACACGCUGUCAUUCUUUUUUUCCUUUUUUCAGUAUAAGUGGAAACUUUUAAAUCCAGAUUUCACAUUCACAUUCUCUCCUCCUAUACCACUCAAACAAUCUCUCCCCCCACGUCACCAUUCAUAGUUAAUAAAAACUCAAAACACAUAUCCAGAAAGCGUAAUAUGAACAAUAUUCAUGACAAAUUUAAAAAAGAAUCUUAGAAAAAGAAGUUUCAAGCGCAAUCAAACAAUCGUUGAUAAAUCAACCAACAAAAAAUCGUUGGUAAAUCAACUGACACAAAGUUUUUAAGAUAAAUAUGUCAAAACUUGAUAAGAAUAUAUUACAACUAAACCUAUUUAUAAGUACAAAACGACCAAAAACAAGUAAAGAAUAAAACAUGAGGGCUACCAAAAAAUAAAUAUGGGAAUAAAAUAUGAUAAUUCUUCAAAAAAAAUAAAAACAAUAAACAAAAUUACUAGAGAUAUCUAUAACAGGUACCUUAAUUAAGAACCAUAAAUGUUUUUUGGAUAGCUUUAUUGACCGCACACAGUUAGCUUCAAAUCGUGGGGCUCACGUUAUUCAACCACCAGAUUUUGGGCUGGUGGUCACCACCAAAACAUUAAGACUUGGUGGACUAGGAGGUCAAGGGUUCAAACCUUGCCUCCCACCAAUUGCCACAACAUAUGGACUUGUUGAACAAAAAUCCAUACGGGUGCGUAGUACACUCGUAUGAUCCGGUGAUAGUUCAAUCACCUCCGAGUUAUCCCAGAACCUCUUCAGGUCCCUCCUCCCCCUAGUAUAGAAUAGUGUAGGUCUAUUGUAUCCGACAAAAAAAUAAAAGAUGUUUCACAUCAUUCAUGCAAAGGUGGAAUUAUCAACAAUCACUAAUUUAAAUCUAAAAAUAAAGCAUUUUUUAGACAGUUACAAUGAGUCCGUAUCAGUAAAAUUAGGUCAUAAUUAAUCUUGUGAACUCAAGGAAAAAUGGACAUUAACGAUCGCAAACAAUUAACGUCAUGCAUGACAUAAGGUUGUGUUUGGAUUGCAUUUUACGUCAUUUUUCAUGAAAAAAUUACUGUAGCGAUUUGAUAUAUGUGAGGGAAAAAGGUGAUAGGGAAAUGUGAUCACGGAAAACGACAAUAUUUUCCGACGGAAACAAGCAAUCCAAGCAUAGCCUAAAUUUUCAUUUUUUUUUUAGAAAACAAAUUUUUGUCUAUGUUUCCUUUUGAUACUAAUACUUUUAUUUAUUCAUUUAUUUGUUUGGUUUAUUUAUGUAAAAUAAGUUUAGGAAGAGAGAAUGUUGGCCUCAUCUCAAGGCCUAACGUUUAUUUGAAAUGUUAUUUGGAGUAAUUUUGUUUGGAUAGAAUACAAUUUGAAAUAAUUACUGUAACACUUUUGUGAUGUGAUGUAUAUGACAUAAAAAAGUAAUUGAAAUUAUAAAAAGGCUGGUUGGAAAAUGUGUUUAUGAUGCAAGCGAAAUAUUAUUUAGAAUAAUUUCACUAUCCAAACAAAGCCAUGAAACUCAGAUAAAAAGGUAACUGAAAAGAUGAAAAGGUAACUGGAAACUCAGAUAAUUUUACUAUAUUUUUUUUGAUGUGAUGUAACUCAGAUAAAAAGAGAUAACUGAAAAGAUGAAAAUGUAUGUUUCUAUAUAAACAAAUGACAUUUGGAUAAAGUUCUAUCCUUUUUCCGAUGACUGAGAAACUCAGACUUUUUCGUUACUAAAGUUGACCUGCGAGAAACCUUCAAAAGCCGGCAACUUUUGAAGGCUCCCGCAGAUCUUAAUAAACCCAAACCCCAAACCCCCCCGAACCGAUGUGGGAUAGAAACCCCACAGGGGUGCCCCGCUGCUAAGAAGUAAAGACCCCCCAGACACCCACUGAAAUGGAGAGAUCACCUCCCCAUUGAAAUGGAGAGACACCCACUGACAUUUGGAUAAAGUUCUAUCCAAACGCACUAUUAUUUGCAUACUACUCCAAGUUUACGCCACAUAGCCAUAUGCCAGACGUUCCGAGUCAAAUCACAUGGAAAUAUGUAAUUAUUUAUUGAUCUUGCUAAAGUUAGAAAAUUUUGCUAAAAUCCCAACUUCCUAAAAACAUAUAUGGCUCCGUUUGUGGAAUCACCGUCCCGAUCUAGACUAACAUGCGUGUGAUAUAUACCGACAUAUAUAUAUAUAUAUAUAUAUAUAUAUUGGAACCUUGCAUGUGAUGAGACGUCCCUACAGGUCUAUGACUUGUUGGUUUCCAGUUUCCAUUCAAAAGGAUGAAACAAAUCGAUAAGUUAAAAAAUGGUAUUACCUUUUUGGAUUAUCUUAUCUUCCUGUGCUUGACUGGUUGUAUUCAUGACAUGUGACGUUUUGCCCCUUCCCUAAAUGAAGCUUCUCCAGCUGUCUCUUAGUGUAGAUCGACCUUGCUUGGAUCUCAGGUGACAGUAUUGAAAUUCUUGAACAGGUCAGUCAUGAUAUCAAUUCUUAUCAAAACGGUGUGCGGACUUUCUGGCAAAAUUGGAUGCAACAGCUGAUGAAGAGUUUACGUCCUUGUCUUGUCUUGUCUUUUUAAACCCAUUUCAAUUUCUAGAGAUUAUUAGAAGAUGACUGACUGUAGGAGCUUUUGCUUACCUCGUUCUGUAAACGUUAACCGACAUUUCUCAUUAUAUAUUAUAGAGUUAAAAAUAAAAAGUCUCCUGUGAUAUAUUUAAUAUACAAAAAAGUCCCUUGAAUUUUAUUAAAUUUAAUAAAUUCUAUUAGUUUAUAAUUUAGUUUAAAACAUGAGGUAUCUCGGAUUCCAUUAAGUUUAACGAAUUCUAUUAGUUUACAAUUUAGUUUAAAAUAUGAGAUAUUAGGUAUAUCACAGGGGACUUUUUUACUUUUAACCCUAUAUUAUAUAUAUCUUUCCUACCAAAAAAGAAUGGUGAUGAUAAUUUAGUUCUGAUUGUCUUAAUCACAAAUUGCUAAUUUAGCUGUCGAUAAUAAUGUUAUUGUAGCUAUCUAAAAAUUGUUAUACUUGAUUUUCAGAUUUACUUACAUUUGUUUAACUGUUUAUCGUGUAUUCUUGUUAGCACUUGAAUUAAUGCCGAACCACAUGGCAAACUUUUUUUUUUUUAUUUGUGGCAUAAAUUAAAAGAUAUGAUGGUAAGUUAACUACGCUGAAACUUGAAGAUACAACUUGUAUUGUAAUAAUUGCAUGAAACGAUUUGACCAAGAAAUUUCUCCUAGGAAAUUUAUAGAUUUGUAAAUGCAACCAAUUUUGACUUCCCUUAUAAGUUUUACACAACCUUUAGAUUUGCCAUAUCACUCCCUUUUUUUUUUUUUUUGGUUUCUAACUUUGACUGGUCUUCUUGGAGGGUAAAAUGCAGUAUAUUUUCAAGGCUGAAGAUGGUAAGGCGUGCGACCCCCAAAGCUUAGGGGGGAAAAGUAUUAUUAGCCCAAAAAUAAAGGCCAAUGAUACAAAAAAAAAAAAAAGAAAGAAUUGAUCAUCCUUGAAUUGAUCAUUGGCAAUAUUAAUUGAGAGAGAGAGAGUUGAGAUAAUUCAACUUGCACGUGUUGACUGACUAACAUCAUUAAUCCAAUUAUUGCACAAUCAGCCUUUCAAUUGAAAAAAAAGAAUAUGCUUUGUCGGCACCGCUACAAAAGGUCUAAUUUGUUGUGCUGUACAUCAUGAUUUCAAAUUGAAAGCAUAAAAUAUUGCAUUCUAGCUUGUACUAGAUAUAUAUAAAUUGCAUUAUUCUCAUUAAACUACGGCUUUACUUGUACUUAAAUCUAAAUCAGUCAACAAGCAACCUUGCUAGAAUGUAUUCUCCCUGUAAUCUGUCCCAGAAAAGAAAAAGUUGAGUAAAAUCACAAGCAAUCAACUAAGCAAAGCCCUGCACUGGUACUAUUAUUACUAUAUCUAUGCUACACUAAUUUGCAGUCACGAUCACGAAUAAUAAGUUGCUUGAUCAAGUAUUAUACUGUAACAAUAGCCAAAUUAAUCAGAACAAUGAAGAAUUCAUCUUCUUAUUCAUCAGCAGCCCUUCUCGCCUUCUUAUGCCUCCUUUUUCUGUCUCUACCAUCUCCUUCUUUCUGUGCGCAUCCCAAGUGCAACUCACAUGAUAAGAAGGUCCUCCUGAAAAUCAAAGCUGACCUAAACAAUCCCUACCAUUUGGCCUCAUGGGAUCCUAAAGUUGACUGUUGUGAAUGGUAUGCUUUGGAAUGUGAUCGAAAUACUGGCCGUGUCAUUGCUCUCACCAUCUUUGCAGGCAACAUCUCCGGCCAAAUCCCACCUGCUGUUGGCGACCUCCCAUAUCUCCAAAACUUGGAGUUUCGUAAGCUUACAAAUCUUACUGGCGAAAUCCCAUCUACCGUUACCAAGCUCGUUCAUCUAACAUUCCUCCGACUUAGCUGGAAUCAUCUCUCAGGGCCAGUUCCUUCCUUCCUUAGCCAGAUCAAGGCCCUGACUUUCUUGGACUUGUCAUUCAAUAACUUCACUGGUUCCAUCCCUCCUUCGCUUUCUGAGCUCCCUAACCUCCUUGCACUUCACCUAGACCGCAACAGACUCACCGGAAACAUCCCUGAAUCGUUCGGGAACUUCGCAUUUGGAAAUAGUGUUCCUGAUAUUUAUCUUU
rnacentral:lncRNA from 1 species